rnacentral:rRNA from 1 species
GAGACUCUGUGCGCGUGCAUAUCAAUAAGCGGAGGAAAAGAAGCUAACAAGGAUUCCCCUAGUAACGGCGAGUGAAGCGGGAAGAGCUCAAAUUUGAAAUCUUAAAGGGUUUCCCUUUACGAAUUGUAGUUUAAAGAAGUGUUUUCUGUUGGAGUUUCGGUAAAAGUUCUUUGGAAUAGGACAUCAUAGAGGGUGAGAAUCCCGUAUUUGACCGUUACUUUCCAGCUGUGUGAUACACUUUCAAAGAGUCGGAUUGUUUGGGAAUGCAGUCCAAAAUGGGUGGUAAAUUUCAUCUAAAGCUAAAUAUUGGCGAGAGACCGAUAGCGAACAAGUACCGUGAGGGAAAGAUGAAAAGAACUUUGAAAAGAGAGUUAAACAGUACGUGAAAUUGUCAAAAGGGAAGCGUUUGACACCAGUGUUGUUUAGUUGAAAAUCAAUUCAAUAAUUUUUGAUUUUGAGUAGUAUUGACUUCAUCAGCUUGCUGCUCUCUUUUCGGAAAUUAUUGAAUGCACUUUUCAGUUAACAAGUCAACAUCAAUUUCUUUUGUUGUAAAAGGGUAAGAGGAAGGUGGCUUACGCUUCGGCGUAAGUGUUUAUAGCCUUUUACCUCUGCAAUCGGAGAGAUUGAGGUCUGCAGCGUAGAUCCUUCGGGGUUAGAUACACUUGUGCUAAGCUAUAGCCUUGUAUAGACAACUUGUUGACUAUGCUCAGUCAUGUAGCUUACUCGCUGAUGCUAUUUUACCUACGCUUAGGAUGUUGACGAUCAGCUGAGCGCG